rnacentral:rRNA from 1 species
GACGAACGCUGGCGGCGUGCUUAACACAUGCAAGUCGAACGGAAAGGCCCUGCUUUUGUUGGGUGCUCGAGUGGCGAACGGGUGAGUAACACGUGAGUAACCUGCCCUUGACUUUGGGAUAACUUCAGGAAACUGGGGCUAAUACCGGAUAUGAGCUCCUGCUGCAUGGUGGGGGUUGGAAAGUUUCGGCGGUUGGGGAUGGACUCGCGGCUUAUCAGCUUGUUGGUGGGGUAGUGGCUUACCAAGGCUUUGACGGGUAGCCGGCCUGAGAGGGUGACCGGCCACAUUGGGACUGAGAUACGGCCCAGACUCCUACGGGAGGCAGCAGUGGGGAAUAUUGCACAAUGGGCGGAAGCCUGAUGCAGCAACGCCGCGUGCGGGAUGACGGCCUUCGGGUUGUAAACCGCUUUCGCCUGUGACGAAGCGUGAGUGACGGUAAUGGGUAAAGAAGCACCGGCUAACUACGUG